GCACCAGUGGCGGAACAGGCAGACGCAUUGGACUUAAAAUCCAAAGAAGUUUAAUUAUCUUCGUGAGAGUUCAAGUCUCUCCUGGCGCA
rnacentral:tRNA from 1 species